AGUUUCAACCUCUUUUGUUUCAAUUCUGUUAGUUAAGAGGGCCCAAUUCUAUUUAUUGUCACUUACUGUAGCUGCAAGAAGUAAAAUUCAAAGGUUAGAGUGGUUUUUAAUAAUUUCAUGUACGUGGCCAAGGAACAUAUAGACAUUUAUGAUUACCAAGAAAUUACAACCUUCCAAAGCACAGUAUUUAUUCCAUGUAGC
rnacentral:lncRNA from 1 species